rnacentral:rRNA from 1 species
UACGUAGGGCGCAAGCGUUGUCCGGAAUUAUUGGGCGUAAAGAGCUCGUAGGCGGCUUGUCACGUCGGAUGUGAAAGCCCGGGGCUUAACCCCGGGUCUGCAUUCGAUACGGGCAGGCUAGAGUGUGGUAGGGGAGAUCGGAAUUCCUGGUGUAGCGGUGAAAUGCGCAGAUAUCAGGAGGAACCCCGGUGGCGAAGUCGGCUCUCUGGGCCAUUACUGACGCUGAGGAGCGAAAGCGUGGGGAGCGAACAGG